rnacentral:lncRNA from 1 species
GUGACGCUUAAAAUUAAUACAAUCAUGCAUAUGGCGGAAAUGUACACGGAGAAAGUCGAAAAUACUAAUUAGUAUGUAAUUUAUCAUUUUACCAACAUUUUCUCCUUUUAAUCAUUGAGAAACCUAAAACUUAAUCACCAAAAUAUUAUGUUUUAUACUUUCCCAUGAUUAACCAUGAAAUAUUUUUUGACGUGCAUAUUUAGCGAAGCACGCUACUCUUGGGACUUAACCGAAAUAAUUUCUUUUUCUUUAUCUGUCCCAUUGCAACCACGUCGCGUUCAAGUUCUCCGGUGGUUUUCCGAAAUAAGUUUGAUUUUAUAUAUUCUAAUCAAAGCCGAAGUUCGUUCCGCGGAAAAACCAUUAAAAGUAAAACAAGAAUGUGUAAGAGUUCCCGUAAUAGUUUGUUCCACAGCAAACUAUCCUGGCGGUGGCGGAUGGGAAUGAAAAAAUCAAGCAAUACCAAUGAAUAUGAAGUUCAACUCAGGGAAGAGCUCCAUUGCGAUCAUCGGGAGCUAGCCGGAAAGAAUUGUGGGAAGAACUACAGCAAGCUUGUGGAUUAUGAAUCUUAUCGAAGCAGCAUGCCGCGGCAAGAAGUGGAAGUGAUUGGCAUUGGAAUCAACACUGAGCAUCAAAUACAAUAUAAUGGAUCACAAAUUAUAAACCUUUGCAAGAUUUGAGUGAAAAUAAAUACGUUUCAUACGAA